GAUGAAGAACGCAGCGAAAUGCGAUAAGUAGUGUGAAUUGCAGAAUUCAGUGAAUCAUCGAAUCUUUGAACGCACAUUGCGCCCUUUGGUAUUCCUUAGGGCAUGCCUGUUCGAGCGUCAUUUAAACCUUCAAGCUAAGCUUGGUGUUGGGUGACUGUCUGCUUCACGGCGGACUCGCCUCAAAAUUAUUGGCGGCCGGUACAUUGGCUUCGAGCGCAGCAGAAACGCGAACUCGGGCCCGUCGUAUUGGCUCCCAGAAGCUAUCUUCACAAUUUUGACCUCGGAUCAGGUAGGGAUACCCGCUGAACUUAAGCAUAUCAAUAAGCGGAGGA
rnacentral:misc_RNA from 1 species